AUGUGGUCUAUAUUCUUGGUGUGUCUCACUAUCACUCUUAUGGAAAGAUUGGAUGAGGAUGAAUCAAAAGUAGGCCUUCUGAAGUCUCUCCCCAAUGCAGACACUAAUUUGCUGCUGUUCAGUGCUGAUAUAUACAAUCCUAAUGACUUCAAGCCUGCUAUUGAGGGGUGUGAGUUUGUUUUUCAUGUUGCAACUCCUAUGCAACAUAAUUCCCAAAGCUCCCAGUACAAGGACACAGCUGAAGCUGCUAUUGCUGGGGUGAGAAGCAUUGCAGAUUCUUGCAUUCGAUCGCAGACAGUUAAGCGACUGAUCUACACUGCAAGCAUAUUUUCUAUGUCGCCAAGAAAUAAUGAUGGAGUUGGAUUCAGACCCUUACUUGAUGAGUCAUGUUGGACACCCCUUGAUGCCUCAUCUACUUAUGGAAAUGAGUUCACUUUGGGGUAUAUUAAAUCAAAGACCUUAGCUGAGAAAGCAGUGCUGAGCUACAAUGACUUUGAUGAUAGUAAAUUAGAAGUGGUAACUCUUCCUUGUGGCUUAGUGGGAGGAGAAAGUCUUCUUUCAUAUUUGCCUUUAAGUGUGAGAGUAAUUCUGGCACAACUUACUGGGGACAUGUUUUCUUGCGAUGGCUUAAAACUUAAUGCAAGAAUUUAAUGGGAUCAGUUCUCUGGUGCACAUUGAUGAUAUUGAUUGA